UAUACAUAUCAAUAAGCGGAGGAAAAGAAACCAACUGGGAUUGCCUUAGUAACGGCGAGUGAAGCGGCAAUAGCUCAAAUUUGAAAGCUGGCCCCUUUGGGGUCCGCGUUGUAAUUUGUAGAGGAUGAUUCGGCGAGGGCUCCCGUCUAAGUCCCCUGGAACGGGGCGUCAUAGAGGGUGAGAAUCCCGUAUGUGAUGGGUUGCCUUAGCCAUGUGAAUCUCCUUCGACGAGUCGAGUUGUUUGGGAAUGCAGCUCUAAAUGGGAGGUAAAUUUCUUCUAAAGCUAAAUACCGGCCAGAGACCGAUAGCGCACAAGUAGAGUGAUCGAAAGAUGAAAAGCACUUUGGAAAGAGAGUUAAAAAGUACGUGAAAUUGUUGAAAGGGAAGCGCUUGCAGCCAGACUUGUCCGCAGUUGCUCAGCCGGUCUCCUGACCGGCGUACUCUUCUGCGGCCAGGCCAGCAUCAGUUCGGGCGGUCGGAUAAAGACCUCGGGAAUGUAGCUCCUCUCGGGGAGUGUUAUAGCCCGGGGUGGAAUGCGGCCAGCCUGGACUGAGGAUCUCGCUUCGGCUAGGAUGCUGGCGUAAUGGCUGUAAGCGGCCCGUCUUGAAACACGGACCAAGGAGUCUAACAUCUAUGCGAGUGUUUGGGUGUCAAACCCAUACGCGUAAUGAAAGUGAACGGAGGUGGGAACCCUCACGGGUGCACCAUCGACCGAUCCUGAUGUCUUCGGAUGGAUUUGAGUAUGAGCAUAGCUGUUGGGACCCGAAAGAUGGUGAACUAUGCCUGAAUAGGGUGAAGCCAGAGGAAACUCUGGUGGAGGCUCGCAGCGGUUCUGACGUGCAAAUCGAUCGUCAAAUUUGGGUAUAGGGGCGAAAGACUAAUCGAACCAUCUAGUAGCUGGUUCCUGCGAGUUU
rnacentral:rRNA from 1 species